UUGUUGGUAAGGUAAAAGCUUACCAAGGCUUCGAUCAGUAGCUGGUCUGAGAGGACGACCAGCCACACUGGGACUGAGACACGGCCCAGACUCCUACGGGAGGCAGCAGUGGGGAAUUUUGGACAAUGGGGGCAACCCUGAUCCAGCCAUGCCGCGUGAGUGAAGAAGGCSUUCGGGUUGUAAAGCUCUUUCAGCCGGAACGAAACGGUUACGGAUAACACCCGUGACUACUGACGGUACCGGAAGAAGAAGCACCGGCUAACUACGUGCCAGCAGCCGCGGUAAUACGUAGGGUGCGAGCGUUAAUCGGAAUUACUGGGCGUAAAGCGUGCGCAGGUGGUUUUGUAAGUCAGAUGUGAAAGCCCCGGGCUCAACCUGGGAACUGCGUUUGAAACUACAAGACUAGAGUGUGGCAGAGGGGGGUGGAAUUCCGCGUGUAGCAGUGAAAUGCGUAGAGAUGUGGAGGAACACCGAUGGCGAAGGCAGCCCCCUGGGUCAACACUGACGCUCAGGCACGAAAGCAUGGGGAGCAAACAGGAUUAGAUACCCUGGUAGUCCAUGCCCUAAACGAUGUCAACUAGUUGUCGGGCCUUUACGGGCUUGGUAACGUAGCUAACGCGUGAAGUUGACCGCCUGGGGAGUACGAUCGCAAGAUUAAAACUCAAAUGAAUUGACGGGGACCCGCACAAGCGGUGGAUUAUGUGGAUUAAUUCGAUGCAACGCGAAAAACCUUACCUACCCUUGACAUGUAUCGAAGCCCGCAGAAAAGCGGGGGUGCCCGAAAGGGAACGAUAACACAGGUGCUGCAUGGCUGUCGUCAGCUCGUGUCGUGAGAUGUUGGGUUAAGUCCCGCAACGAGCGCAACCCUUGUCAUUAAUUGCCAUCAUUUAGUUGGGCACUUUAAUGAGACUGCCGG
rnacentral:rRNA from 1 species